GCUGGCAUCGUCUAUCGGUUAGGAUAGCGGACUUUCACUCCGCCGAGACGGGUUCGAUUCCCGUUGCCAGUA
rnacentral:tRNA from 1 species